rnacentral:rRNA from 1 species
UGGGGAAUUUUGGACAAUGGGCGAAAGCCUGAUCCAGCAAUGCCGCGUGUGUGAAGAAGGCCUUCGGGUUGUAAAGCACUUUUGUCCGGAAAGAAAUCCUUGGCUCUAAUACAGUCGGGGGAUGACGGUACCGGAAGAAUAAGCACCGGCUAACUACGUGCCAGCAGCCGCGGUAAUACGUAGGGUGCAAGCGUUAAUCGGAAUUACUGGGCGUAAAGCGUGCGCAGGCGGUUUGCUAAGACCGAUGUGAAAUCCCCGGGCUCAACCUGGGAACUGCAUUGGUGACUGGCAGGCUAGAGUAUGGCAGAGGGGGGUAGAAUUCCACGUGGUAGCAGUGAAAUGCGUAGAGAUGUGGAGGAAUACCGAUGGCGAAGGCAGCCCCCUGGGCCAAUACUGACGCUCAUGCACGAAAGCGUGGGGAGCAAAACAGGAUUAGAUACCCCUGGUAGUCCCACGCCCUAAAACGAUGUCAACUAGUUGUUGGGGAUUCAUUUCCUUAGUAACGUAGCUAACGCGUGAAGUUGACCGCCUGGGGAGUACGGUCGCAAGAUUAAAACUCAAAUGAAUUAGACGGGGUCAUAACUG